AAGAUCUGUGUGUGUGUGUGUGUGUGUGUGUGUGUGAGAGAGAGAGAGAGCGAGAGAGAGAGAGCGAGCGAGAGAGAGAGAGAGAGAGAGAGAGAGAGAGAGAGAGAGAGACGGAGACAAAUACAGAGAGAGAGGAGGAGGAAGCUGUACUAUCCCAGACCCGCCCUGGGGCGUGGCCCUGUGGCCCUGCUGGCCUGGAGGCCAAGCCAGGCACAAAGGACUGAUUCUCUCUGCAAAUGAAAUCUGGGGACAAUGAAGAGAGUGCAAAGUCUCCACAUCCACUCAUCAGAAAUCCUCCAGGCCAUUCAGCCAGACACCGGGUCAUGCCAUAAAGAGCUGCUCUGAAACUGAAAACCUUGCCAAGGAGACUCACCCACUGCAUGUUCGUUAGAGGAAAGGAGAAGACAUGGACAUGUUAAAGCUGCAGAAGCAAACAGGUCUCCCCACAAAUGCAUAUAUGCUCAUACACAUGCAAUUCUGCAAAGAAGUUCAAGGGCUUCAAAAAUCCCCUGAGACCAGAGGAGCCAAGGUGAAGAAGAUCUAAAGGAAGGUGAAAUUGCCAAGAAUCCAGAUGUUGGCAGAAACAAUAAAAGUGACAGGCAUGAUAUGCAUUGAUAGUAGCUUCAGAAUAAAACCAAUCACCAUUUGGGGUUUUGAGAAAGAACUGCUGACCCUGAGUUGGUCUUUUCAGACACAAGAGUAACAAUAAGUCAUCAACGGACUGCCAUCGUUGAAUAUAAAGAAUGACUCUGUGUCUGGAAGGUAACAUGCUGGACAAGGCGCAGGACGAUACUGAUCACAAGGAUAUUGUCUCAUCAAAAGUGUCCACACCUAUAGCAAGUGCUAGAAGUA